rnacentral:tRNA from 1 species
GCCUGGGUGGCUCAGUCGGUUAAGCGUCUGAUUUCAGCUCAGGUCAUGAUCUCACGAUUCGUGGGUUAGAGCCCCGCGGCGGGCU